UGGCCCAGAUCGUUUACCGUGAAAAAAUUAGAGUGUUCAAAGCAGGCAGAUCCAAUUCUCUGCCACCGAAUACAUUAGCAUGGGAUAAUGGAAUAGGACCCUGUCCUCCUAUUUUCAGUUGGUUUUGACACGCGAGGACCAGGGUAAUGAUUAAUAGGGAUAGUUGGGGGCAUUAAUAUUUAAUUGUCAGAGGUGAAAUUCUUGGAUUUAUGAAAGAUUAACUUCUGCGAAAGCAUCUGCCAAGGAUGUUUUCAUUAAUCAAGAACGAAAGUUAGGGGAUCGAAGACGAUCAGAUACCGUCGUAGUCUUAACCAUAAACGAUGCCGACCAGCGAUUAGGAGACGUUGAAUACAAAACACCACCAUUGGUGCGGUCGUUCCUUGGCAUUUGGUCGUGGCGCAAGUCACGGCCAGGUGUGAGGACGGUUUAGCCUGAUGGAUUUCGGUGAAUGACUCCCCUAGCAGCUUGUGAGAA
rnacentral:rRNA from 2 species